UAUUAAAGGCAACGCCUGCCCAGUGAACAGUUAAACGGCCGCGGUACCCUAACCGUGCAAAGGUAGCGCAAUCACUUGUCUAUUAAUUGUAGACCCGUAUGAAAGGCAAAAUGAGGGUCUAACUGUCUCUUUUAGUUAAUCAAUUAAACUGAUCUCUUAGUCCAAAAGCUAAGAUACUAACAUAAGACCAGAAGACCCUGUGAAACUUUAACUAAACUAUUAAACCACAUGAUAACUCCUUUAGGUUGGGGCGACCUUGGAAAAAAAAAGAACUUCCAAACAAUAAAUACAACAAUAUUAUACCCAGGCCAACAAGCCAUAUAACGACCCAGCAAAGCUGAUAAUUGAACCAAGUUACUCCAGGGAUAACAGCGCUAUCUUCUUCAAGAGCCCAUAUCAAAAAGAAGGUUUACGACCUCGAUGUUGGAUCAGGACAUCCUAAUGGUGCAGCCGCUAUUAAGGGUUCGUUCGUUCAACGAUUAACA
rnacentral:rRNA from 1 species